rnacentral:rRNA from 1 species
GGACCAGUGCACAGGUGCUGCAUGGCUGUCGUCAGCUCGUGUCGUGAGAUGUUCGGUUAAGUCCGGCAACGAGCGCAACCCACAUCUUUAGUUGCCAGCAGGUUAAGCUGGGCACUCUAGAGAAACUGCCCGUGAUAAGCGGGAGGAAGGUGUGGAUGACGUCAAGUCCUCAUGGCCCUUACGGGUUGGGCUACACACGUGCUACAAUGGCAGUGACAAUGGGUUAAUCCCAAAAAGCUGUCUCAGUUCGGAUUGGGGUCUGCAACUCGACCCCAUGAAGUCGGAAUCGCUAGUAAUCGCGUAACAGCAUGACGCGGUGAAUACGUUCCCGGGCCUUGUACACACCGCCCGUCACACCAUGGGAGUUGGUUCUACCCGACGACGCUGCGCUAACCCUUCGGGGAGGCAGGCGGCCACGGUAGGAUCAGCGACUGGGGUGAAGUCGUAACAAGGUAGCCGUAAUCACUAGUGAAUUCAR